rfam:Salmo salar isolate Sally breed double haploid chromosome ssa12, whole genome shotgun sequence.
UGCCUUCCCUACUGUAAGUCGCUCUGGAUAAGAGUGUCUGCUAAAUGACUAAAA